rnacentral:rRNA from 1 species
UUUGAUCUCAAAUCAGGUAGGACUACCCGCUGAACUUAAGCAUAUCAAUAAGC